GUCUGUUUGUUUAUACAUUUACAAAUGUUAUUAAUCAGAUGUUAUUAUUUUCAUUUCCUUGUACAGAUGGCAGACUUAACUGUGCAGAGAAGGGCUACUGCUCUUCGGGGUCUUCCUUUUUAUUUCAAGGAACAUGGAACCAUAUGCAAGACUAUUCUGAGUUCAGAGGCAUUGGAGCAUCACAAAGUUGGAAUGAAAAUGGGAAUUCUUGAAGUGGUGAGCAGCAACAGUUCCACUUCAAGAUCCCUCUCCGAUGUGGUAAAUGUUGCAAUUGUCCUUGAAGAGGAAGUUGUCCUGGAAAACAUGGGAGACUUUGUGAGUGCGUUCAUUGUCCUCUUUGGCAUGCUCUACGCACUUAACAUGGAGUACAACAAGGACUUAAGAUAUACUUUUGAAUUCAUUCAGAAGGUCUUUUUGAACAUGGGAACUGAGUGCAGCAAAAAAGUGCAAACUCUGAUGAGCAAAUUAUUGGAAAACUAAGUGAAAUUUCACUUAACCCUCACGGGAGAAGUACCCUUAAGCUCAAAGUACCUUUUGUGAGAAUGUUUUUUGCUGCUUUCUAUAUAUCUGUAAAUGUGUUUACAUGCUUAAUAUUUGAUGAGUAAGAUGCAGUUUCAUGAGCUCAUAUUAAGAUGAAAUUAACUAUAAUAAACUAAACACAACCCUGAAGUAAUUUUUUACUUCAGACUUUUGCAGCGUUUCAAAUAUUUGUAAAUGUUUUACAAAAAUUCAAGUAAAUUUACACUGAAUAUUUAAAGUAACCCUCUCCUGUUACUUGCAUUUUAUGUUGUGUUGACGUUUUUGCACUUUAGCAAAUAUUAACAUAAUAUUUUAAAUUAUUUAAAUGUUUAAUAUUGUUAGUGCAGUUUCAUAAAUGUAGUACCUAAAUACCAAAAUGUCAGUGAAAUUUCUCUAAACACUGAUAAUACAUGUUUUUUAAAUAAUUGUUUUGUUAAUGUAAGAUCUAAGGUCUAAUGAGUUUUGUGUAUCUUGGAAUCCUGAAUUGAAAUGCAUGAUUUUUAUCUACUAAGGUCUACUGUGCAGAAAUGUUCAAUGUAUUUACCAUUUAAGGUAUUUUCACAAUACUGUUGUAGAUUUAAUAAAAUGUAUUAAAUAAAA